rnacentral:rRNA from 1 species
UACGUAGGGAGCAAGCGUUGUCCGGAUUUAUUGGGCGUAAAGAGCUCGUAGGCGGCUUAGAAAGUCAGGUGUGAAACCUCCAGGCUCAACCUGGAGACGCCACUUGAUACUUCUAUGGCUUGAGUUCGGUAGGGGAUCACGGAAUUCCUGGUGUAGCGGUGAAAUGCGCAGAUAUCAGGAGGAACACCGAUGGCGAAGGCAGUGAUCUGGGCCGAUACUGACACUGAGGAGCGAAAGCCAGGGGAGCAAACGGG